GGCUUUCGUUUCUUUCUGUUGUCUGUCGAGACUUUGUGACGUCCUCUCCCAAAACGUUGGUCAAGAAUUAUAAUGACGUCCAAAAUAUUGUUGAUGUGUUAAGUUGUAGUGUUGAUGAUGAUAAAUUAAAAAUUAUAAAGGAACAUUUCAGGUCAGUUUGAUAAUCUGUGGUGCUAAUAGACCAUUUGCAUUCUAGACUAAAUUUUGAUCUAAACACGUCUAAUAAAUAUGACUCUCUUGUAAUCUCCAACUAUUUCAUCUUUUCAGACUCGUUGAAAAUGCUCGUUCGCCCCAAAGAUAACUAAAGUUUGAAUUGCAAUGAAAAUCGGUAACUCCAUAUAUUGUACAUACUUAUGUGAAUAAUUUUCGUACGUUAUGCCUUUUUGUGUGGUGUUCGUACUGUGCGAAGUAUUUUAUCAAAACUGGGCGCCAUCUUGUACCCUCUUGCAUUUUGGUCUAGCCAGGAUCAAAAGUGUGUUUGUGGCUGAAUAGGACUUUUUUGGCAUAGCAAUAUUGACGAUAUCUUCUCACGACUCUGUGCCCAGAUUGCGCGCUUGUCUUUUCAUUAAAAAGGGGAAAAAUUUACCCAACAUCAAAUGUCAACUAAAAAAAAAACCUACCCCUGGCCAAAAACUUUACAAAAUGAUACCGUUCAGUUGUCACACAUGUCCUUUACCACUUCUGUGACAUGAGUUUGAUAACUGCUUGUGCAAUUUUCUGCAGUCUAAAGUUUCAUGUUGUCUGCACAUGUACUUUCUUUGGAGACACCAUUUGCCUCCUGACAAUUCGGGAAAUGAUCAAAAUAGUGACUCUGAUUGAUUGAUUGAUUUAAAUAUUGUAUUGACAUAUGACUGUUGACAUUGCUUUUUAGUCUUCAAUAUUUGAGUGAGUCAUGCUUUGGAAAUGACAAUAAAUUUGUAUUACCCAACCCUUGAGUUGUUUUGUUUUUCAUUUGACCAACCUUUUACUCACUCAAAAUUUUGUUUACCCAACCUUUUCUCUUCGCCAUAAAUAAUGACCUUUCCUUUAGCAUUUAUGCAACAGAGAAAAAAAUCCCACCCAAAAGUCAAUAACCCUGGAUAAACCAGAAUGCAUUGCGAUUUCAAGAUAGCCUAGCCAGUGAUAAAAACGUUUACUGAACUAAAGUAGUAUAUCGUACCAUGUUUCUUGAGUUUCUUUCUGAACGUUUGAGAUUCUUAGGGAAACUAUUUCCUGAGGAAACAUACAGACGUUAAAGUGUGAAGUAACCCCGAAGUUGAUUUUUGGUUUGUGUAAUAUUCGGGUCAUUUGAAGAAGAAAUGUAAUAUAUCUUUAUAAUAAAAAAUCCCAUUUUGAUCAACUUUUUCCCUGUCAAAGUUUCCGGAUGUCAUUAGGUGAAUUGCAAAUUAGUUUUCCUUAUGUUUUUUUGUACCAAACGUUCACCUAAUGACCUCAUUAGCUCAUAUCUGGAAACUUUCACAGUGAAAAAGUUGACCAAGAUGAGGUUUUUUACUAUAAAGAUGGGGUUAGUCAGACAUUAAGCGUUUUGUUACAUAUAGCGACGAAAGAAAAAUCAACAACAUUCAUACAACAAUUGUAUUUCGUGACAAAAACUCUAUAGUGUCAACGGGUUUAAAAUUAAAAGAACAUACUUAAACGGUUUGAGCAGCGUAUCCUGUUGCCUGUUGUGUAUUUUUCAUUUCGUUUAUAGACAAGCGUUUUUGGUCAAGAACAUGGUACUAUAAAAAUUGUUAAAAGUUUUUCUAUGACGAUGUGUUGUGUUGAAUAAAUAUCGUUGCGUGUGUUAUGCGCAAAAGAAG